UACGUAGGGGGCAAGCGUUGUCCGGAAUCAUUGGGCGUAAAGAGCGUGUAGGCGGCCCGAUAAGUCCGCUGUGAAAGUCCAGGGCUCAACCCUGGGAUGCCGGUGGAUACUGUCGGGCUCGAGUCCGGAAGAGGAGUGUGGAAUUCCUGGUGUAGCGGUGGAAUGCGCAGAUAUCAGGAGGAACACCGGUGGCGAAGGCGGGUCUCUGGGCAGUAACUGACGCUGAGGAGCGAAAGCGUGGGGAGCGAACAGG
rnacentral:rRNA from 1 species